GACAGAGGCCCCAAGCGUUAGGCGGAAUCACUGGGCUUAAAGCGUGUGUAGGCGGUACGCCUAAGUGUCUUGUAGAAACUCCCACGGCUCACCCGUGGAACGGCUGGGCAUACUGGCGAUCUUGGGCCAAGCUAGGGGCAACUGGAACAAGCGGUGGAGCGGAUGAAAUGCGUAGAUAUCGCUUGGAACGCCAAAGGUGAAAACAGGUUGGCUCGGGGUUGUGCCGACGCUGAGACACGAAAGCCAGGGGAGGCAAACGGG
rnacentral:rRNA from 1 species